UAAUCUCCCUUUUGCUAAUGAAGAUCUGUGGCUUAACGGGAUUAAGUGACUUACCCAGAUCACACUGGCAGGGUAAACUUACAGUGGGAUUUGACUCUAGGAUCCCAUGACUUCAGACACCUCCUGUGACCCCUGAGAUAUCAGAAACAAUCACCACAGGAGUUUUUGAAUGGUUUCCCUAAAACCUGAGAAAGUGGCAGAGCACAGCGACUCCCCAUUGUUAGCAAGGGCCCUGCUGUAGGAUCUGUUCACAGUCCAGCACCGCUUGUAUUUUGUGCAAACAGGACACUUUUUUUUCCACUGCAUUUUUUUCCAUUGCAGUUUUGCACUAGUUUUCCAUUGCAGUUUAACAAAUUAUUACAUGCUUAAUAGGAUAAAAUAAGGUUCAAUGUCUUCCUGUCCCAGAGGUCAGAAGUCUGGCAUGGGUCUAACUGAACUAACUUCAAGGCGUUGGUUACCCAAGGCCUUUCCAGUUCUCCAGUGAAUCUGCUUUGGCCUUUUCGGGACUUGAGGUCUCCUGGACCUUUGCCUUGGGAAGCUGCCUGUCAAAGUGCUGCUCUAUUCUGUGGUUCUCAGCCCUCACUGUGCCAUGGAAGGUGGCCUCCUGUACUGUAGUCAAUUCUUUCUUGGGAACUGACGCUCUUCAGAUCUUCAGGAGGCCUGCAGGGAACCUCCCUGGAGGCUGUUCUGACCACACACAUCCUUUGGCAAAAGCACUUUCUGGCUUCCCUUUUUGUUUUCAUGAAACUUCUGGUCGCCCUUCUACUGUGCCUCCUCUGUUAAGUCCUUUCUAUUCUGUGCCAGUACUAACAGUGUCCCCUCUCCUUAACGUCCUCCAGCGUGGAGGUAAACUUAGGAAGGAUUUUAAUUUCUUUGUAAUGCCUUUUACCCCACUAUGCAGUGGGAUGGACUUGCUCAGAACUCACGCCGGGUGCAGGCUGAUGCCCCCUGCAUACUUCACUGCACUGCCUCUCCACAUACAACAACUCCCGCCACAUCCAGCUCCCAGCUCUUUUUUUGCCCUGACUCUUUGCCUCCCUCACUGCCAGGUUUCUGUUCAUUCUCUCUGGAAUAGUUAGCCGACCGAGUUUCAGAGCACCCACAUUCUUUGCUGGGGCUUUAUCCGCCCUGUUCUGUGUGACCUGUCAAGGCCCUUCUUAAAGCAAAGACAACACUCCCAUCCCAGGAAAGGAUUCCAGCUUUAGCUGUGAGAUAACUCUAAUCCUGCUGCACAGCAAACAACCCUUCCUUUCAUCAAGUUCAUAUUUGUGUUUUUCCAGAUAAGUGAAAGUAGGUCAUGCACAAAUCAGGCUGUUUCAAUAUGAAAAUGUAUU
rnacentral:lncRNA from 1 species